rnacentral:rRNA from 1 species
GUGGGGAAUCUUGCGCAAUGGGCGAAAGCCUGACGCAGCCAUGCCGCGUGAAUGAUGAAGGUCUUAGGAUUGUAAAAUUCUUUCACCGGGGACGAUAAUGACGGUACCCGGAGAAGAAGCUCCGGCUAACUUCGUGCCAGCAGCCGCGGUAAUACGAAGGGGGCUAGCGUUGCUCGGAAUUACUGGGCGUAAAGGGCGCGUAGGCGGACAGCUUAGUCAGAGGUGAAAGCCCAGGGCUCAACCUUGGAAUUGCCUUUGAUACUGGCUGUCUUGAGUUUGGGAGAGGUGAGUGGAACUCCGAGUGUAGAGGUGAAAUUCGUAGAUAUUCGGAAGAACACCAGUGGCGAAGGCGACUCCCUGGCCCAAUACUGACGCUGAGGCGCGAAAGCGUGGGGAGCGAACAGGAUUAGAAACCCUUGUAGUCC